rnacentral:rRNA from 1 species
CCUACGGGAGGCAGCAGUAGGGAAUCUUCGGCAAUGGACGGAAGUCUGACGGAGCAACGCCGCGUGAGUGAAGAAGGAUUUCGGUUCGUAAAACUCUGUUGUUAGAGAAGAACAGCGCAUAGAGUAACUGUUAUGCGUGUGACGGUAUCUAACCAGAAAGCCACGGCUAACUACGUGCCAGCAGCCGCGGUAAUACGUAGGUGGCGAGCGUUGUCCGGAAUCAUUGGGCGUAAAGGGAGCGCAGGCGGACAUAUAAGUCCAUCUUAAAAGUGCGGGGCUCAACCCCGUGAGGGGAUGGAAACUGUAUGCCUUGAGUGCAGGAGAGGAAAGCGGAAUUCCCAGUGUAGCGGUGAAAUGCGUAGAUAUUGGGAGGAACACCAGUGGCGAAGGCGGCUUUCUGGACUGUAACUGACGCUGAGGCUCGAAAGCCAGGGGAGCGAACGGGAUUAGAUACCCCGGUAGUCCUGGCCGUAAACGAUGAAUGCUAGGUGUAGGAGGUAUCGACCCCUCCUGUGCCGGAGUUAACGCAAUAAGCAUUCCGCCUGGGGAGUACGGUCGCAAGACUGAAACUCAAAGGAAUUGACGG